AUACGUAGGGAGCGAGCGUUGUCCGGAAUUACUGGGCGUAAAGGGCGCGUAGGCGGCGCUUCAAGUCGUCUGUCAAAUGGGAGGGCUUAACCCUUUUUCGCAGACGAAACUGGAGAGCUUGAGAAGCAGAGAGGCAAACAGAAUUCCUGGUGUAGCGGUGAAAUGCGUAGAUAUCAGGAAGAAUACCAGUGGCGAAGGCGGUUUGCUGGCUGCAUACUGACGCUGAAGCGCGAAAGCCAGGGGAGCAAACGGGAUUAGAUACCCCGGUAGUCCUGGCAGUAAACGAUGUAUGCUGGGUGUGAGACUAGCGAUAGUUUCGCGCCGAAGUUAACGCGAUAAGCAUACCGCCUGGGGAGUACGGUCGCAAGAUUGAAACUCAAAUGAAUUGACGGGG
rnacentral:rRNA from 1 species